rnacentral:rRNA from 1 species
AUAUCAAUAAGCGGAGGAAAAGAAACUAACAAGGAUUCCCCUAGUAACGGCGAGUGAAGCGGGAAGAGCUCAAAUUUAAAAUCUGGCGGUUUCACCGUCCGAGUUGUAAUCUGGAGAAGUGUUAUCCGUGCUGGACCGUGUAUAAGUUUCCUGGAACGGAGCGUCAUAGAGGGUGAGAAUCCCGUCUUUGACACGGACUGCCAGUGCUCUGCGAUGCACUCUCGAAGAGUCGAGUUGUUUGGGAAUGCAGCUCAAAACGGGUGGUAAAUUCCAUCUAAAGCUAAAUAUUGGCGAGAGACCGAUAGCGAACAAGUACCGUGAGGGAAAGAUGAAAAGAACUUUGGAAAGAGAGUUAAACAGUAC